rnacentral:lncRNA from 1 species
CUAAAGACAGGCUCAGUGUACUCAUAUCUAAAUAAAUCUUUUAAAAAGGUAAAAAUAAAAGUGCUUGAACACACGAAGUGCACACAUGUAGCACACACACAUACAUGCAGGCACAAACUUACAUGUAAAGUUUAAUAUUUUUGCUUUUGUUUUUUGAGAUGUUCUCACUGUCCUGCCCUUGCAGUCCUGGAACUAUGUAGACCAGGCUGGCUCUAGAUUCAGAGUUCCACUUGGUUUUGCCUCCUGAGUGCUGAGAAAGGACUAAAGGAGUGGCCUCCACACCCGGUACAAAUCCCAACACUCAAGAAUCAAGAGUUGCUGGAUAGCCAGGCUACAUAGAGAUGUUCUGUUUUAAAAACAACAAAAGAGGUGGGUUGUGAUAAAGAAGACCCCAACCGUGGCGUCUCACCUUCGUGCAUUCACUCCAGUGCAAAUGUACACACACACACUUUCGGGCUCUAGUUAAAGAACAAAGUUUUUAAUACAGACACAUUUUAAACAGUCUUUUUGGCAAAAAAAAAAACAAAAAACAAACAAACAAAAAAUAAAAACAUAAAAAAGGUAGGGCAACCACCACCCUACAGCCCUGAUGUGUGUGUCGUCAUAUUUCAGUCAUCUAUGCUGGGUCAGAGGAAACGUUCAGUCCAAGGGCAAGUUCAAGUCCACAGGUGAGGAGGCCAGGAUGCCUGCCUGCAGAGGACAGAGAGCCCCAGGCUGGCUGUCUCCCAGGCUCUUCUGUCAUCUAUGUCAAUAGAAGCAGGGCCGCUGAGCUCUACCUGUCCCUCCUGUCUUGCCAUCUGAACUCCGUCACUCCUCGCCUCCCCAUUCCACGGAAUGCAGAAGGAACCCAGCUGAUGCUCACAACAGUACCUCUGACCUGGUACCCACACUCAGUCUCGGAGAACCUGCUCUCUCGUCAGAGUCCUUUCUGCUGGGACUGACACCCAUCUCCAGGCCUUUCCUGGUCUAUCUAAGAGGAUGGGUCUGUUCACAGACUACCAAUAUCUCAGAACCCCCAUCUCAGGGUGGUCAAGGACCCUUCUGAGCCCGGCUGUGUCUCUAGAACACAGGUUUUUUGGUUUUUUUCCUCUCCUUCUGAAGUGCUGGACUAUCUCCUAACCUCCUUUUGUUUGUGUUUUGCCUAAGCUGACCGUGAAACCUCUGGAGCCAAGGAUGUCUUUAAAUCUAGAUGGUCUUGCCUCAGCCUCUCUGGUACUUGAGAUGACAGACUUGCACCACCAGAGACAAUCAUCCCGUCCCGUCCCGUGUCGUGUCGUCCCCCCCCCCCCCUCCCCGUUACACCACCACCCCACCUGCUGUGCCUCAGCCAUCUCCAGGAUCUUACUAUGUAACCCUGACUGGUCUUAGAACCCCUAGGCUGGCCUUGACCUUAUAGAGAUCCGCCUGCCUCUGCCUCCCA